CUAAUUAAAGACUAAACACUCCGAACAAAAUUUUUCAAAAAGUAUGACUCAUAAGCUGUGAACCGCGAGUACCACGUUGAACCACACAUCGGCUCGCCCCUCGUAUGACAGAACGACCUGGCAGCGCUGGGUUUUUCGAUUUCGUUUUGUGCUGAUUUACGCGCGCAUCUUGUUUGUUUUUGUUUUGCUUAGCGAUCAAGGCAGGCUGCAAAUGAGUCAAUCAGCUGUGCAGGGAUUUUUGUUUGGCGCAACGAGCGAAAUUGACUGGUGUUUGGUUUUUAAGAUGAUUGCUGUUUGUCAUCAUUCCUCGUAAGCGAAAUCUGUUCAAUACGAACACCACGAUCGUCCGCGACCUUGCCGCCGGAUGAUUUGAUCAUCUCGAAUCUAGACAACUCGAUGGUAACGAUUGCCUGCGACACUCUACCAAAGGCCGGAUUUUUGGAACCGAAGUGCGCGUUUGGCAUUUCCAUGCUGUACAUUGUCCGUCCCAACACGUUCAUCGGUGAGGGUGUCGACUUCGGCGGGUCAACAUUUCCGGUCAACAUUCCGGUCAUCAGAGGCCACUCCGGCCAGACCAUUAUCCCAGUGAGCUUCCCCAGGACAAGAUUGCCACCCUGGCGGUACGCAUUCAGGAGGUCCUCAAGACCAAGACCGGUGCCGGUGCGGACACUCUCACGACGGCCUACGCCGAAGCCCGUUUUGCCCUCGCUAUGGCCCAUGCCAUGAACGGCAAAAUGAACGUGAUUGAGUGCGCGUUCGUCCGCUCGUCACUUGCUUCUCCACGCUGCUGCUGCUGGGCAAGAACGUUCUCGAGAAGAACCUUGGUCUGCCCAAGGUGAACGCCUACGGACAGGAGCUACUGAAGAAGGACAUAUCGGAGCUGAAGAAAAACAUCCGGAAGGGCGAGGAAUUUGUCAAGAACUAUGUGAACAAAAAAAAAA